rnacentral:lncRNA from 10 species
GGAAGAAUUCUCUGAGACUUGAAGUCAGAGAAAGAGUUAGCUAAUGGGGCUGACAGGGGUCUGCACAUGCAGCUCACGGCCCAGAUCUCGUUGGCCGAGUGUUUUUGCAGGGAUUAGGAACUAAGAAUGGUUUUGCAAGAAGAACAUCCCAGGCCGAAGGGACGGCAUGAGCAAAGGCCAUGAAGUGGGAGGCGCCCUCUGUGAAACCAACAAGCUUUCAGCCACGUGGGUCUCUCUGAUGCGUUGUCUCCGCCACAGAGGGCUUUAAAAAGCCCCGAAACUGGACAGGUGUCACUGCCUGUGGCAGUAGCGGCCAUUUGGCGCCUGUGGUUUCAACUCCACCCGUUUCACAUGUCUAUGUUACCAGACUGGCCCCUGAAGGGGAUCUGCGUGCCAGGCCCUGACCUGCCGGGCUUUGGAAACAUCCUUGCCAGUGUCCCCUGACCUGCGCCCCGCCCUGUGGAGUGAGGCCUGGUUGCCCAAGCUGGCUGGGCCGGGCUGUUUGCUGCUUCCAACAAACAUAGGAGAGAAUGUAUUGCUGCUUUUGAUUGCCAGUGAGAGCUCCGCGAGGCCUGGCCCGAGAUGUGGCUGGCGUGAGGGGUCCCGGACCUGCUGUGGUGGGGACGCACCCAGUUCUGUGGCGCUUGGUCCAGCGAGGAUUCUCCUGCCUCUGAGUAGCUGGGAUUACAGGUGCAUGCCACCACUGCCGGCUAAUUUUUGUACUUUUAGUAGAGAUGGGGUUUCACACCAUGUUGGCCAGGCUGGUUUCCAACUCCUGACCUCAAGUGAUCUGCCCACCUUGGCCUCCCAAAGUUCUGGGAUUACAGGUGUGAGCCACUGCACCUGGCCAAGAAGGAGACUUCUUUAGAUCAUUCACUUGUUCAUUUAUUCAGUUAAUCUGUGAUCUGAGUACCUUCUGUGUGCCAGAUCCAGGACUAGGGACAUGGAGGAGAAUGUACAAGCAGGUCCUGCCCUCAAGGGGCUCCUAGUCCAUGGGAGACAAACACCGAACAACCACAGGUCCACAUUAAGACCAGAUUGCAGCUGUGAUGAGUGCUACCAAGAAGGAAGGAAGCACAUGUGCCCAGCUCCAGGGGCCACGUCAUGAGGGUUCUGGUCCCAUCGCAGCAAUCCCUUUCCCUUUCCUGGACAUUAGUAUCUCAGCUUCCCUUGUAGUUAGAAGUGGUUGGCCUGGUGCGGUGGCUCGUGCCUAUAAUCCCAGCACGUUGGGAGGCCGAGGCAGGUGGAUCACCUGAGGUCAGGAGUUUGAGACCAG